rnacentral:rRNA from 1 species
CUGUUGGGUAGGGGAGCGUUCUGUAAGCGGAUGAAGGUUAAUCGAGAGGUUAGCUGGACGUAUCAGAAGUGCGAAUGCUGACAUAAGUAACGAUAAAACGGGUGAAAAACCCGUUCGCCGGAAGACCAAGGGUUCCUGUCCAACGUUAAUCGGGGCAGGGUGAGUCGGCCCCUAAGGCGAGGCUGAAAAGCGUAGUCGAUGGGAAACAGGUUAAUAUUCCUGUACUUGGUAAAGCUGCGAUGUGGGGACGGAGUAGGUUAGGUUAUCGCACUGUUGGAUAUGUGCGUUUAAGUUGGUAGGUGGGAAGUUUAGGCAAAUCCGGACUUCUAUUAAACACUGAGAGAUGAUGACGAGGCUCUACGGAGCUGAAGUAACUGAUACCACACUUCCAGGAAAAGCCACUAAGCGACAGGCUUUACUAAACCGUACUGAAAACCGACACAGGUGGUCAGGUAGAGAAUACUCAGGCGCUUGAGAGAACUCGGGUGAAGGAACUAGGCAAAAUAGCACCGUAACUUCGGGAGAAGGUGCGCCGGCGUAGAUUGUAAGGGCUAGCCCCUGAAGGUUGAACCGGUCGAAGAUACCAGCUGGCUGCAACUGUUUAUUAAAAACACAGCACUCUGCAAACACGAAAGUGGAGGUAUAGGGUGUGAUGCCUGCCCGGUGCUGGAAGGUUAAUUGAUGGUGUAAUCGAAAGAGAAGCACCUGAUCGAAGCCCCAGUAAACGGCGGCCGUAACUAUAACGGUCCUAAGGUAGCGAAAUUCCUUGUCGGGUAAGUUCCGACCUGCACGAAUGGCAUAAUGAUGGCCAGGCUGUCUCCACCCGAGACUCAGUGAAAUUGAAAUCGCCGUGAAGAUGCGGUGUACCCGCGGCUAGACGGAAAGACCCCGUGAACCUUUACUAUAGCUUGACACUGAACAUUGAAUUUUGAUGUGUAGGAUAGGUGGGAGACUAAGAAGUAGUCACGCCAGUGAUUAUGGAGUCAUUCUUGAAAUACCACCCUUUAACGUUUGAUGUUCUAACGAAGAUUACGAAACGUGGUCUCGGACAGUGUCUGGUGGGUAGUUUGACUGGGGCGGUCUCCUCCCAAAGCGUAACGGAGGAGCACGAAGGUUUGCUAAUCACGGUCGGACAUCGUGAGGUUAGUGCAAUGGUAUAAGCAAGCUUAACUGCGAGACAGACAAGUCGAGCAGGUACGAAAGUAGGUCAUAGUGAUCCGGUGGUUCUGAAUGGAAGGGCCAUCGCUCAACGGAUAAAAGGUACUCCGGGGAUAACAGGCUGAUACCGCCCAAGAGUUCAUAUCGACGGCGGUGUUUGGCACCUCGAUGUCGGCUCAUCACAUCCUGGGGCUGAAGUAGGUCCCAAGGGUAUGGCUGUUCGCCAUUUAAAGUGGUACGCGAGCUGGGUUUAGAACGUCGUGAGACAGUUCGGUCCCUAUCUGCCGUGGGCGUAGGAGAAUUGGUUGGGGCUGCUCCUAGUACGAGAGGACCGGAGUGGACGCACCACUGGUGUUCCGGUUGUGUCGCCAGACGCAUUGCCGGGUAGCUAAGUGCGGAAGAGAUAAGUGCUGAAAGCAUCUAAGCACGAAACUUGCCAAGAGAUGAGUUCUCCCAGAUUAUAAAUCUGUAAGGGUUGUUUAAGACGAAGACGUAGAUAGGUCUGGUGUGUAAGUGAUGUGAGUCAUUGAGCUAACAGAUACUAAUUGCCCGAGAGGCUUAACUAUACAACGCUCAAG